rnacentral:rRNA from 1 species
UACGUAGGGGGCAAGCGUUGUCCGGAUUUAUUGGGCGUAAAGAGCGUGUAGGCGGCUUGGUAGGUCUCGCGUCAAAACCUGAGGCUCAACCUCAGUUCGCGUGGGAAACCACCUAGCUAGAGUCCGGAAGAGGAGAACGGAAUUCCCAGUGUAGCGGUGAAAUGCGCAGAUAUUGGGAAGAACACCAGUGGCGAAGGCGGUUCUCUGGGACGGUACUGACGCUGAGACGCGAAAGCGUGGGGAUCAAACAGG